CGCAAAGUACGUCUGAUUAACGGGAUCGCGCAUACUUGCGAAAACCAGGUGGAGGUGGGACGCCGAGCGGAGUGCCGGAGGGGCAGGUGCGCCUAGGUGAUACAUGAAGCGCACGGGCUGUGAGCUUCGGGAGAUGUUGGAAAGCGGUGGAGGCAGACAAACCUUGGCAAACUUGAAGAAUGGCCUGGGGUCUCUUCUGAAGUACUCGAUGUCGAACAUGGCCUGAGGAUCCGGAAGGUCAGGGAAGUCGACGGCAAGUCUGGCAUAGAUCCCAUCUCUGGAUCGGAAGUCUGGUAUUCCGCACGACACGGAGACCUGACGGUCCGGAGGGAGUGCCGUUUCUGGGAGAAGAUCUCUGAGGAUGGUCCGAGGAUCUGUCUCCCUCAUGAUGUGCUGCUGGAUGAAACUGUAGGAGCCUGAAAAUAAUUUUGAAGUACAGAUAUAUACAUUCUG